AUUGAACGCUGGCGGCAGGCCUAACACAUGCAAGUCGAGCGGAGCGGCGGACGGGUGAGUAAUGCCUAGGAAUCUGCCUGGUAGUGGGGGAUAACGUCCGGAAACGGGCGCUAAUACCGCAUACUAUCAGAUGAGCCUAGGUCGGAUUGGCUAGUUGGUGGGGUAAAGGCCUACCAAGGCGACGAUCCGUAACUGGUCUGGGGGGAUGAUCAGUCACGCUGGAAAUGGGACGCGGUCCAGACUCCUGCGAAAGGCAGCAGUGGGGAAUAUUGGACGAUUGACGAAUGCCUGAUCCAGCCAUGCCGCGUGGGUAAAGAAGUUCUUCGGAGUGUAAAGCACUUUAGGUUGGGAGGCGUUACCAACAGAAUAAGCACCGGCUAACUUCGUGCCAGCCGCCGCGGUAAUUC
rnacentral:rRNA from 1 species